AUUGAACGCUGGCGGCAGGCCUAACACAUGCAAGUCGAGCGGAGCGGCGGACGGGUGAGUAAUGCCUAGGAAUCUGCCUGGUAGUGGGGGAUAACGUCCGGAAACGGGCGCUAAUACCGCAUACUAUCAGAUGAGCCUAGGUCGGAUUAGCUAGUUGGUGGGGUAAAGGCCUACCAAGGCGACGAUCCGUAACUGGUCUGAGAGGAUGAGCAGUCACACUUGAACUUGGACCGGGUCCAGACGCCUACGUGAGGCAGCAGUGGGGAAUAUUUGACAAGGGGCUAAAGCCUGAUCCAGCCAUGCCGCGUGUGUGAAGAAGGUCUUCGGAUUGUAAAGCACUUUAAGUUGGGAGGCGUUACCCGCAGAGGAAGCACCGGCUAACUCCGUGCCAGCCGCCGCGGUAAUUC
rnacentral:rRNA from 1 species